GAUGAAGAACGUAGCAAAAUGCGAUAAGUAAUGUGAAUUGCAGAAUUCAGUGAAUCAUCGAAUCUUUGAACGCACCUUGCGCCUUUUGGUAUUCCGAAAGGCAUGCCUGUUUGAGUGUCAUGAAAUCUCAAUCCCCCCGGGUUUAUGAUCUGGGUUGGGACUUGGACUUGGGUGCUGCCGGUUACAUGGCUCGCCUCAAAUGACUUAGUGGAUCUCUCUGCAUCCGUGACAGACGUAAUAAGUUUCGUCUUGUCCCUUGCUGUCUGAGUCUGCUCCUAACCUGCCAUUGUGCACUUUUAGACUCUGACCUCAAAUCAGGUAGGACUACCCGCUGAACUUAAGCAUAUCAAUAAGCGGAGGA
rnacentral:misc_RNA from 1 species